CCUUAUGAUCAAAGUGAAACAUAUUGAGAGCUUUAGUUUUGAGUAGUUUCUAAAGCUAAUAAGAUAAGUUGUUCUUAUAACUCUUUGUGUUUCUAAGAGAUCUGAUAAUGAAUAUCCUAAAUUAUGGAUUAACCUUUUUUUUAUUAAAAAAAAACAGCUUGUUUUUUUUCAAUUCUAAACAAAUACCACAGCUUGUGAUUUGUGAGUCAGAGCACUUUCAAUAAGAGUUACUGACAUGGAUUUUCAAUACAUAUGUAGGUGUAAAUAUAUAAAAUAAUGAUAAUAUUAAUUAUGAGUAUUUUAAAAUGAUGAGAACUCCACACUAAAAUAUCUUAAAUAUUUUUAGAUUUUUCAAAUCCAAUAGAUUUAUAAUAACUUAUUUUUAUUAUAUUUUAAAAAAUUCGAUGGGACACCCUUAAUAAAAAUGCUCUCAUAAUAUUUUACUAGCGCGUUUUUAAACAAUUUAAUAAUCUUACAUGUUUCAAAUUGAGGAAUAUCCUAAAAUAUUUUUAAGAACUUGGUUCUCCAAAAAAAAUAAAAUACCACAAUUUGUUUCUUAGGAUUUCUAAAAUUUUGGAAGACUUCCUAGUUGUUUUGAGGUAAUUUCUGAAUAAGAUAGAAACGAGUUUUCUUUAAAACACACAUUUUCAAAUUUCGGAUGUCAACUUUUAACAUGGUAAGAUUUCAUUGCAUAUUGAGUUUUUUUUUGUUUCUAUCAACUUCAAAUUUUUAUUAUAUAUUUCACUAAUGCUCGCGAAUUCAUUUUUUUUUGUCACAAAUUUCUUUAAUUAAAAUCUAAGACGCUACAACGAUGACAACCGGAGGUAUGCUCGACGAUAAGAUGAACAACAAUAACACUAGAACAAUAAAACAUGGGAUAGAAGUGUUAUAAGGAGAGAGUUGCUCGUAGUAGAGAGAUCCGCAGAUAAUCUUUACUUGAAUCCUUGAAACCGCAGCUCGAGAGAGCUUCAAAUAGUCUGAAACGACUUUGAAGUACCCUAGUGAAAGGGUUUGGAAGAGAGGUAAAAAGCCGACUGAGGCUAAGUAACCCAUCAAACGAAUAAGAUCAGCUCUAGAACCGACUAUGCUGACCCGGGAGACUAGGUGAAUCUCAAGUGAUCCAGAGAACAAGAUAAUCGGAGCUUGAGUCUCGUCUUUUCGGUAACUGCAUCCUUUGCUCUUCCGGACGAUCAUCGGUUUCCCCAAACAAACAAUGACAAGCAGAUUGGAAACCAUUACUUUAUCAAUAAUUGGAGAUAUUCAUUUUCUUAAAGUUGUGCUUAUUUUAUUAUAUUAGCAGUCCAUGAUUUAUACUAACUAAAAACGGAAACCAUUACUUUAUCAAUAAUUGGAGGUUCGGCAGAAACAAAAGAUGGUGGAAUAUUCAAAACUUGGUGGGCAGUUAGAUGAAGAUCAACCAUGUCCUUCGUGUUGUUUAUCUUCUUUGCAGUUCACGUGUUUGUAGCUCUAGUUUUGUUCAUCAAUUAAAUACUACAUAAAUCCUAAGAUUAAGAAAUAACUUUAGAGUGAAAACUGAAAAGUAUGACUAAUAACAUUAUGAAAAACUUUACAACAUAUCGGUUAGUUAAAAGAGAAGGGGAAAAAUACUUCUCUCAAAAGUCACAUGUCUCUUGCCAGCUAGUUUGAUUAAUAUCAGCACGAGAAGACCCACAAUUCCACGACGAUAACAAAAUCAAAUGAUAGCCAUUAAAGUUUAUAACAUUCUAAGGCGUUUAAAUUGUUAUAAAGAAUAACUGUUCAAAAUAGAAGAAAAUGCCAUACUAAAAUUAAUAUGAUGUGAUCAGUGUAUUAAAUGUAGAAUUUGAAAAUAAUAAGUGUAAAUGGGAAUGCAAAUACGGUGGUCGACCAAUCCUUAUCAUUGUCUUGUACACACUUGAAACAGAAUACAAGUCAAGGAAGAUGCUUUAUUGAUUGCUCUUAUAGCUUACUAGAUGCUUUGUCCGCGCUACGCGCGGAUUAUGUCUUUUUAAAUUUUGUCUCUAUAUAUCUAAAUUGCUUAGCAAAGUUUGUAAGACAUAAGUUGAGUUUUAGAUUUUAUAGAGAAGUAUAGAUUUGCUCAAAAAAAAAAGAUAAAAUUGUUUAAAACGUAAACAAAUCUAGGUAUCAAGUUGUGUGGGAAAGAGAAUAAUAAUCCAAAUGAUGCAUGAACUAAAGUCAUUAUUUGUUGCAUGCUUUUGAAUGAUCUCUUAUUCGCCAUUUGAAAUGCUUUAUGUAAUCAAUUGAUUUGUUGAAGUAGAAAUUUGUUGUUGGUGAUGAACUGAGUAGUAAUUUGCCUGGAAAAUAUUAGAUAUUAUUAUUCUGUUGAUAAAAAAAUAUAUUUAGAUAUGUAUUAUUUCUUGAUGUGUUUAAAAAAAUUAUGUACCUUGGAAAAGUUUAGGAAUUAUGCUUGUGAUGAUGACAACUUUAAAUUUCAUAUUCUUCUUGCUUUGUAAGAUGCUAAAAUCUGUUGCUUGCUUGUCGUACAAUAUGAGUUUGACCAUUGUCGACCUGAGAUAGAAGUUUAUGUAUGAAGAGGAUUAUGAUUUCGUUUUUAGCUAUUGUGUUAGACUUACAUGUUUAGCCGUAAACCAAUCGUGGCAUCAGUAUUGAUUUCUGGGUAGUACGGAUUUGUUUUUUGUAUUAUGAGUAUCUACCCGACAACAUCUGCACAUUGAUUUUGAGUUAGAAUAAAAAUCCAUGUUUGUUUAAUUAAUAUUGGGAUGACUUACUUACCUUGUAAGUAGGUGGGUGUAGUGACUAAGUGCAAUAGAUUUUUGUAAUUCCGAGGAGAGAAAGUGUGAACUGGAAAUAUUGGACCGAUGUCUAGAACUUUCGAAGCUAUUGUCUUUUAGUCAAUCUGAAUGUAAUACGGCAGUUGGGUGAGUUUUCGAUGUCGUGAAUUAUGUAUGACAGAAAACCCUGAAAACUCAUAUAUGUCUCCCUCGGCCAUAUUUUCUGGGUCAUUUGGCUGAAUGUUUCCGGUGAGCCGACCUUCUAAUAGUUGUCCCUGAAAGUGAACAAAUUUUGUUGUGCCGAGCCAUUGAAGUAAAUAGUGAGUAGUUUAAAUCAAAUAUGUUGGAUUGGGAAAUACAUAUAUAUGUAUAUGCUAAAUUUAAUUAAAGGCUUACGUGGUGGUCGUAGCACAUGAAGCCGAUGCAAAUUUGAGUAUUAUUUGUUUGGUGUUUUCUGAUGUCCCAAACACUUCUUAUACAUACCGUGAUAGGACGCACUGAAAUCCCUUCUUGAAGUUGGUGAAUUUGUUGAGGAAUGUGUUGCAUGUGAGAUGUCACUAUAAAUUACAAAAGAAACUAUAAAUUAUAAUAAGAUACAUGUAUUCCAACUAUUACUAUUACACACAUGGAUAUAUUUUCAAAAUUAACUCAGAAAAAUAAGUGUACCAUGCAUAUAUGUACUUGUCUAUAAUAUUUUAUAGUUACAGCAAAAAAUAUAUAAAUAGUAUUUUACAGAUAUGAUCUUGAGAUUAGAAACAAAUUAAUUUUUCUUUUUAAUAAAAAAUUAAAAUUAUUAUAUUGAGUUUUUUUGUUUCUAAAAAAAUAGUUAGUUAACCCUAUAUAUAAGACAAAUAAUAAUAUAAGAAAAAAUAUAAUUAUAUCUUAAUUAUAUAAAUAUUUGUUUUAAAAUAAUCACAUUGUAACUGCAUAUCUUAAGAGAUAUAACAUGUUUAAAAUAAAAUUUAACAACAAAUACCUCUACAUAUCAACAAAGGAAAAAUAAAUUAUUAAUUCAAUACUAAAAUUUAAUUUAAAAAAAAAAAAUAUUCAUAUGCUUGAGACUUUACUAAAUUUUUUUAAAAAAAAUUAAUUUAAUAUAUUAUUAUAUUAAUUUGGGUAAUUUGGAGUCAGACACUGUAAUUUGGUAUUAGGAUCUUUUUACUUAUUAAAUGAAACAUUUUGGUCAUUUACAUUCAUGUGGUUUAUUUUUGUGACUAAAACUUGAGAAUGAUCUAUUAGGAGAAUUACCCCUACUCUAAUUAGAAAUGUGAUUUUAGAUAUGCUAUAAUAUUGGUAUUGAAGUUUAAAAUGUUACUAAUAAAAAUAAUAUUAAUAAAUUGAAAAUAAAUUUUUUUAAAAAAGUUUCAAAAAGUAUUUUCGAAUUUCGAACAGAAAAUUUGGAAAAAAAAUUAGUAAAAACAAAUUUGGAAAUUUUUUUUUAGAAAGUUCGAAUUAGCAAACACAUAAUCUAAAAAUAUAAAAAAAUACUUAUUUUUAUUUUAUUUUUAUCAUAUAUUUCUCUGAAUUCAACAAUAAUAUUUUUUAUUUUAAAUAUAUUAAAAUUAUGAUUAAUUUUCUUAUUUACAUUUUCGUUGGUUGUUGUCAUAGAUAUGUAUAUAUGUUUCAGGAAGAUCAAAGAGGUAAAAUAAUGACCAAAAUGUUUCAUUAAAGAGGUAAAUAUACAUUUAUACCUUUAUUGCUAACUAAUACAAACCUUAGGGUAUAGAGAUAAGGGCGGGGAAUUGGGACUGAAGUUUAAAAUUUUAUUAAAUAAAAAUAACACUAAUAAAUUAAAAAUUAAAAAUUUAGAAAUAGUUACAAAAGUAUUUUCGAAAAUAUACUCUUUUGCACCGUAAAUAUAAAUUAUAGUUCAUAUAGUAGACUAACGAUUUGCUAUAUUUUGCCAUAUCAUUCUAUAUACAGUUUAAAUGUGUAUAUUGUUACCUUGAGCCUUGAACAAAAAAAAAACUGAAACCGCAUAAAAAGAAAAACAAACCAAUUGCUGGACCCUUGAAAUUUUUAUUAUUUUUCUCAGUGAAACAGGCAGAAGAUUAUAUAUUUACCUGCAUAUUCUAUGGGCCGGUCAGAGAGUGGGCUAUCCAUUCUGUUGAGUCGGCGAUCCUCGCAACCAACCUAUUACAAAUUAGGUAUAUGUAUUAGGUUUACUUUGAAAACGUGUACGUUUUUCGACGUAUCCAAAGAAUGAUGGGUUUUUUUUUUGAGAGAUGGAUUGUUUAAGUUUAUUUCAUACGCAAAACAAUGAUGAGUUUUUGGGAGAGCUUGAUUAAACAUAAGCUAACUAUGUUUUUUUUUAAAUUUCCACCACUAAAAACACAGCAGAGCUUUAUAAGAUUUCGUCAAAAUCACUACACUCUGGUUAAACUAAACAUCUCAGAAUGUUAAUGAAUGACCAAAACAGAGCAAGACCAAGCUUUUCAUAUUUUAAAAA